AUAUGACGUACUGAGAUAGCACGCUAUCGUGCAGCAGCGCGUAUACGGGAGUGGCAGCGUAUCGGAAUAUUGGGCGUAAGCGUCGCAGCGCUUUUCAAGUCUGCUGUAAAGCGUGAGCUUAACUCAUCAUGGCAGUGGAAACUGAAAGGCUUGAGUAUGGUAGGGGCAGAGGGAAUUCCCGGUGUAGCGGUGAAAUGCGUAGAUAUCGGGAAGAACACCAGUGGCGAAGGCGCUCUGCUGGGCCAUUACUGACGCUCAUGGACGAAAGCCAGGGGAGCGAAAGGGAUUAGAUACCCCUGUAGUCCUGGCCGUAAACGAUGAACACUAGGUGUCGGGGGAAUCGACCCCUUCGGUGUCGUAGCUAACGCGUUAAGUGUUCCGCCUGGGGAGUACGCACGCAAGUGUGAAACUCAAAGGAAUUGACGGGGGCCCGCACAAGCGGUGGAGUAUGUGGUUUAAUUCGAUGCAACGCGAAGAACCUUACCAGGGUUUGACAUCCUGCGAACCUCUUAGAAAUUUGAGGGUGCCUUCGGGAAUGCAGUGACAGGUGGUGCAUGGCUGUCGUCAGCUCGUGUCGUGAGAUGUUGGGUUAAGUCCCGCAACGAGCGCAACCCACGUUUUUAGUUGCCAGCAUUUAGUUGGGCACUCUAGAAAGACCGCCGGUGAUAAACCGGAGGAAGGUGUGGAUGACGUCAAGUCAUCAUGCCCCUUACACCCUGGGCUACACACGUACUACAAUGCUACGGACAAAGGGCAGCAAACUCGCGAGAGCUAGCAAAUCCCAUAAACCGUGGCUCAGUUCAGAUCGUAGGCUGCAACUCGCCUACGUGAAGUAGGAAUCGCUAGUAAUCGCAGGUCAGCAUACUGCGGUGAAUACGUUCCCGGGCCUUGUACACACCGCCCGUCACACCAUGGAAGUUGGCCAUGCCCGAAGUCGUUACUCCAACCCUUGUGGA
rnacentral:rRNA from 1 species